GAUCAUGGCUCAGGAUGAACGCUAGCUACAGGCUUAACACAUGCAAGUCGAGGGGCGGCGGGACUGAAGCUUGCUUCAAUUGCCGGCGACCGGCGCACGGGUGAGUAACGCGUAUCCAACCUUCCGCUUACUCGGGGAUAGCCUUUCGAAAGAAAGAUUAAUACCCGAUGGUAUCUUAAGCACGCAUGAGAUUAAGAUUAAAGAUUUAUCGGUAAGCGAUGGGGAUGCGUUCCAUUAGGCAGUUGG
rnacentral:rRNA from 1 species